AGUGAACGCUGGCGGUAGGCCUAACACAUGCAAGUCGAACGGCAGCACAGUAAGAGCUUGCUCUUACGGGUGGCGAGUGGCGGACGGGUGAGGAAUACAUCGGAAUCUACUUUUUCGUGGGGGAUACGGAGGGAAACUUACGCUAAUACCGCAUACGACCUACGGGUGAAAGCAGGGGAACUUCGGAACUUGCGCGAUUGAAUGAGGCGAUGUCGGAUUAGCUAGUUGGCGGGGUAAAGGCCCACCAAGGCGACGAUCCGUAGCUGGUCUGAGAGGAUGAUCAGCCACACUGGAACUGAGACACGGUCCAGACUCCUACGGGAGGCAGCAGUGGGGAAUAUUGGACAAUGGGCGCAAGCCUGAUCCAGCCAUACCGCGUGGGUGAAGAAGGCCUUCGGGUUGUAAAGCCCUUUUGUUGGGAAAGAAAAGCAGCAGGUUAAUACCCCGCUGUUCUGACGGUACCCAAAGAAUAAGCACCGGCUAACUUCGUG
rnacentral:rRNA from 1 species